rnacentral:rRNA from 1 species
GACGAACGCUGGCGGCGUGCUUAACACAUGCAAGUCGAACGGAGUGGCGAACGGGUGCGUAACACGUGGGUGACCUGCCCUGCACUUCGGGCUAAGCCUGGGCAACUGGGUCUAAUACCGGAUAGUGUGGGAUGGGCCCGCGGCCUAUCAGCUUGUGGGUGGGGUAAUGGCCUCCCAAGGCGGCGACGGGUAGCCGGCCUGAGAGGGUGGGCGGCCACAUUGGGACUGGUCCACGGACCAGAAUGCGACGGUAGGCAGCAGUGGGGAAUAUUGCACAAUGGGCGGAAGCCUGAUGCAGCGACGCCGCGUGGGGGAUGACGGCCUUCGGGUUGUAAACUCCUUUCACCAUCGACGCGGUAGAUGGAUAAGAAGCACCGGCUAACUACGUGCCAGCAGCCGCGGUAAUUC